GGCUAAUGUUCAAUACAUAAGGAGCUCUUACAACUCAGUAGCAAAAACCCCCAAAUAACCUGAUUUUAAAGUGGGCAAAGAACCUGAAUGGAUUUUUCAAAGAAGACAUACAAAUGGUCCCUAGGUACAUGAAAUGACGCUCAGCAUCACUCAUCGUCAGGGAAAUGCAAAUCAAAACCACAAGAUAGCACCUCGCACCUGUUAGGAUGUCUCUCAUCAAAAAGACAAGAGAUAAUGAAUGUUGGCAACGAUGUGGAAAAGGUAUACUGUUGGUAGGAUUGUAAAUUAGUAUAACUAUUACUGAAAACAGUAUGGAGUUUCCUCAAAAAAUUAAAGGUAGAACUACCAUAGGACCCAACAACCCCACUCCUGGGUAUAUAUUAGAAAGAAAUGAACUCAGUAUCUUGAAUUAAUAUCUGCACCCUCAUGUUCGUUGCAGUAUUACUCACAAUAGCCAAAACAUGGAAACAACCUAAAUCUCUGUCAGCAGUGAAGGGAUAAAGAUAAUGUUAUAUAUAAACUUGAAUGUCAUUCUCUAGGUGAAAUAAGCCAGACAGAGAAAGACAAAUAUUGUGUGGUGUUAGUUAUAUGUGGUAUCUAAAUUAACAAGAGUUGAACUCAUAGAAACAAGAGAGUAGAAAUAGUAGUUGUCAGGGCUAGAGUGGUGGGGAAAUGGAUAGAUGUAAGACACAGGGUACAAAACUUUAGUUUUAAGAUGAGUAAGUCCCAAGGAUCUAUUACAGUGAGGUGGCUGUAGUUAAUAAUAUGGUAUUGUAUACUUAAAAUUUGCUUAGACUAGAUCUUACAAAAAAAAAAAUAGUUGACGAUGUGAGGUGAUGGAUGUGUUAACUAACUUAAUUUUGGAAAUCAUUUCAUAGUGUUUAUGUAUAUCAAAUCAUCACAUUGUACACUCUAAAUGCAUACAGUUUAUUUGUCAGUUAUUCCUCAAUAAAACUAGAAAAAAAAUCAUGGGGAAGUCAAGCACCUUGGCUAAACUCCAUCCUGUUUUGAGGAUUUUUAAGCCGUAAGAGCAGUCAGCUUUUUAGUAAGCUAUACCCCUGGUAUACCAAACAAAAUUUCUUAAAACAGGCAAAAUGAUGCCACAUGGUCUAGGUAUAAUAAAUUUGAAAUAUAUUUUUAUGCUGCUCAUAGUACUUUCUAAUACUUUUCUCAUAUGAAAUAACUUGUCAACAGUUUCUUCCUUUGAUGUUUCUUUUUAUCUAUAGAGGUAAUCCUGCCUGUGAAUACUGAGUUACUUCUCUUCUCAUGGAAGUCUGCAGGUUAUUUGGGGCAGCUCUACUUCAUGUUGUAAAGUUUACCUGGGCUUGACUUCAGCCUGUGAGUUGAGGUCAUGUCUGACCCAUUUUCUUCAAUCAGUGGCAGCUCAAGGUAUGUUGAAAAUUAAAACUCACUGAGCCUCUGAUGAGACUGCAGCCCUGCCAAUACCUGGAUUUCAGCUUGAUAAGAGCCUGAAUUGAAGAUCAAGUUAAGCUGUGCUCUGACCUGACUCCUGACCCAUGGAAACCAUGCUUGGCCUUGGGAACCUACUAAUGAUCAUCCAUCCCUUGCCUCAGACUUUCACAAGCUAGAAGCAACAUGGGGUUUUGUAGGGAGUACAGUAGAGAGAACCAGAAAGCUUACUUUUGAAUCCUGAACAUAAUAAAAACACCCAACAGGACAUCCAAAGGUCCCAUUUGAUGUUGGCAGAGCCACGAGCAUCUUGAAUGGUCCUGUCUGUCUAGGAAGACCAGAAGGAAAAUGGCAGAUGACAGUGCACUACCAUAACUUAACCAAGUAGAAGCCCCAACUGUUCUUGCUAUGCUAUGUGCGGUAUCUUUAUUAACAUGUUCUUGGGUGUAAUUAAGGAUCCCAAGAUGAGAUCAUUCUGUAUUAUGGUGGGCCCUAUUUCAACAUCAGGUGUCCUUAUAAGAGCAGAGAAGGAUAAGACAUACAGAAACACAGUGGCUGCUAUGUGAAUAAAGACGGAUGUAAAACUUGGUGUGUUGCAUCCACAAACCAAAAAAAUGCUAAGGAUUUCCAGAGCUGCCAGAAGUUAGGAGAGAAGUGUGAAAUGGAUUCUCUCUCAGACUCCAGAAAGAACCAGCCAGAAAGAACCAACCCUUCCAACAUCUUGAUUUCAGACUUCCGGAUUCCAAAACUGUGCUAUAAAAAAAUAAUGCAAGCGCAGUGAACACAGUGAAGAAAACCUGGUCAAUCCCUCUUGAGAGUAAGUUGGUGAAAGUACAGAAAGUUUCACAAGGAAAUGAAAUGAAAUUUGCGCAGAAUUUUAGAGAAACAAAAGGAUUUUGGAAGAUGUGAUAUGAGGAGAAAGAAAUUUGAGAAUGAAGAAAUGCACAUGGAUACUUUGACAGAUGAUAAAAAUAUUUUCAACAGAUUCUCCAAGUCAUUUCAGCAGGUGUGAAGCACCCUCCUGUACUGAAGAGGUAUUUCAGGUUACCUGUGAAAGAUGUUGAAAGAAAGUCUGAAACCAGUUAUGCAAGUCAGACUUCAUCACUCACCCCCUGCAGUAAAGGAGAUGGCAUGGAAUGUAUUGGAGAAUGGUGUGGACCGACAUGACGCUUUAGCAUUCUGAGCCUUAAAGGAGAGAUACUGAUCCUGCUGAAAGCUGAACUGGUAACAGCCCCAAGUGGGUGAGCACUCAUGCUCCUGGAAACCGUGCACUGGGCAGAAAACAGAAGAGUUUUCCUGGUGACCAGCAGAAUGUUCGGACAUUGGAGAAUUCCACUGGAGAGGGAAACACUAACAGCAUCUAAUUUGGAUCACAAGAUCUUGGGCUUUGAUCCUAUUUAUGCUGCACGAAAAGACAUUUGAAUGCUUUGAGGAGGGAAUUUUGCCUGCAGUUUGGAAAUUAAUACUCUGGUCAUUACAACACAUUGAAUAUAGUUCCCAGUCACAGUCUUCUCUUACUUUACCUUGGGGAUCGGACAGCAUCAUACCCAUCACGUUCUGUUGGUUAUAAGUCAUAAAUCCAUAAACUUAAGGAGAAGGGAAUUAAAUUCCAUACCUGAAGGAUGUGUCAAGUUUCUACAACAGAGUUUGGCAAAGUCUCUGCAAAAGGGCAAAUAGAUCUUGGAAACUUUUGAAGCACUGAAGACAAAUGCCAGAGACUUCUUAUAGAUUGUGAAUCCUGUAUGGUGGUCCCAGACAGCUCAUCAAGCAGCAGCACAUAUCUUUAAAAGCUAGACUGGUUUCAGUGAGUGCCAUAUUUAUAAUGAGCUUUACAACGAGCUGCUGCAUUAGACAUCUUGUGGAUCAUGGGAGACACGAGUGAAAGCCAACUACAACAGUCAAGGUCAAAGGUCCACUUUUAUUGAGCUACUGAAGAAAUGACAGCAAUUGCCUACAUCUGGAACGUUUCAGAUGCUGACAAAGUCCUCUUGGUGAUACAGCAUCAAGAUGGAAACGGCCCAAGCCAUCCAGUGACCAGAACACCCUUGAAGCUUACUGAGUUGGUCACACAGAUCAAACAUGGGACCAGCGUCACAGAGGACUACACAGUGAUGUGAAUAUCAGAAGAAAACAGAACUUCAAGGUAGUGGCCUGUUGAGAGAAGACGUGGACAAGUGUGUUAGAUCAUAAUGAAUUGUAUCUACCAUGAUAAAAAAUAAUGUAUAAAGAUGGCUCUGGAAAGUCUUUGAACGAUCUUAGUGAUAUGAAUUUAUUUGAACUUAGAAGGUUUGUUCUGCUGUCAGUGUGAAGACAGGAUGAAAGGGGCAAUCCUGGAGGCAGUGGCAGUAGCUAAAAGGCUGUAGCAGAAAUCUAUGCAAAAAAUUCUAAGACAUUUUACAGAAGCAAAGAAAAGGAGGAUAGAAAAUAGGUGGUGGAUUUUAGAAGGGUUUCGGGAGUCGACACAAGUGUACAGAAGGCCAGGAGGGGCAGUGGGGAGCAUAAAGUAUUUGUGUCCAAACUGGGAAAAUUUUCAAAGUUAAAGGGGUCACUAUUGUUAACUACACUGGUGAAGCACACAUAGUCUGUGUGUCCUGAGGAAAACGAGGACCUAUAACCAUCAUAAUGAUGUAUCAUGGAAAAUAAUAAAAGAAAAUAUCUCACAAAAGCAUAUCUGUGUCAGGCACUGUGGUAAAUGUACCCCACGGGUUAUAUCACAUAAUCCAAAUACCUAUCCCCUUCUUAUGCCCAGUUUACAGAUGAUGAAACUGAGACCAGAUAAAUUAAGAACUUUCCAAAAGUGACAUUUGAACAUCUGCCUUUCUGAUUAGAAGGCAUAGUCCCUUAAUGACUGCAUUAUUGCCCUGUUAUUUUGAAUAACUGAUAAAGGAGUAACUCUUCCUCAAAAUAACAUGCCCAAACUAAAUUAGUACUAAUAUCUUGACAGGUGUAAUCACCCUCAUCAUGAGUUGGAGGUAAGGCUGUUGUUGUAACUGAGCAGAACCCCCGGGGGCCUUCCCAGGACGGACCCCUUCCCCCAUACCCACUGCUGUGUCUCCUCUCUGAAGUACCCAGGUAAUAGUAUCUCAAGCAUAUUUUCUAAGUAUUUCAGAUGCUAAAAUACACCACCAAAUGGAAGAAAUUAACUACUUGAUGAGCAUAAGCAUGCAGCCCCCAGACCUUCUGGUGCCUAAGGAUCUAUCACCCCCAGCCAAUCAGAGAAUUGUGCACAGCGGAUCACACACCCUGGGCUGUGCAGUUGGCCUUUAAAAAUGCUCAGCUGAAACUCUUUGGGGAGUUAGUAGAGGGGUGGUUUUGAGCAUGAGCAGCUUGUUAUCCUUGUUCGGCCCAGCGAUAAGCCCUUCUUGCUCCAAACUCUGACGCUUUUUUGGGGCCUCAUUGUGCGUCAGGCAUAGGAACGUGCCUUCAGUACCAUUGUUACACUCUGGGAUAAGGGAGAAAAUUGUUCAGCGCUCUUGUGAUCCAUCUGAGCUCUUCUGGGCUUCCCCUGGCCCAAUUUUGAUGGCAAAUGGACAAGUGUAGCAACCCCAGUCAGAAAAGAGCAUGGUGACAGCGUGCUGGGCUCCCUCGUAUCAGGCCCCCAGGCAAACAGCUGAGACCAGAAGAGGUGCAGAGGUGAGGGGGCUCUGGACCGGGAACUUGGGAGGAAGUUGAGCCCCUGAGACCGGCUAGGGUGGGGGGCGCUGCUCUGUGCCCCGCUGACUUUUGUAAGUUUCCUCCAGGGAUUUUCUUUUUGGGUAAGAAGGAGAAAGUCCACUUCACCUGUCUGUACGACUGAUUGCAGGUAGAAAACCUGGACAGAAGGCACAGAACAGCUAUCUGAGGGUCUGAAAAGGAAAAAUAGCAAGGAGGCUGGGGACAGAAAACCAGCAUUCAGAACCUGGGGCCAUCCUGCGGGGGCAGUGGCAGCUCGGUUGGCAGGAUUCCCCAGGAGCUAAAAUUCCAAGGAGGGAACUGGUGCCUUAAGAGAGGGGUGAAGCCCCACUGGCGGCUUUCUCCCCUGCUCUCCUGCCGCUCGAGCCCAAGUGCAGAUGCAGUCGGUCGUGGAAAGGCGUCCUGGAUUACUGGUGGGCGCCAGAGUGGGCCACUAAUGCUGCAUCUUUCCGGCUGGAAUAAUGAAAAAGGGAGCCCUAGAAAACCAGAAGGUACUGGAGAGACUGUGGAGAGGGGGCUGCUCUGGGAGAGCAGACCCCAUGAAGCUGUGUAUCAAGUCCUGGGCUCACUCCUGGGCCACACGUGCAGGGGCCUUCUCCUCAUCAGAAUAGCAAAGCCUGGCAGCCGGGACUAACAGGCUCCCCACUGGCCAGGGGAGAGGCCCGAACAGUCCCUCAAAGACUUGGGACACUGAGGUGACACUGGAACCGCAGUCUGCGGAAGGCGGUUGGAAUUGUGACCUGAAGAGGCUUUGUAUCUGAGAGGAAAGACAUUCUAGUUAGAAGAUGAAAUGGGUCCUCAGUUCCACAAGGCACUAGAUUAGAGACAAGCCCAAGAUAAGCAUACAACUUGCUCAAAUGACCAGCUGGACAAGAUGCCCUCUCUAACAGAAAAAGAGAUUUAUAUUUAAAUCCACCUUCAGAAAUAAACUAGCAAUUGUUGCGCUGUCGGAAAUGUGUUUAAGUAGGAAUAUGAGAAACAUAAAAACAAAUAAAUAAUCACAUCUGAUCUGCUAACAUUUUUCCGGAUGUUUGGAAUACCAUUUUAUGAAAUGCAUUUAAUAAUUGAAAUCCCAGAACAUCAAAAGCAUUUUAAAAUUACAGGUCAGAUUAAAUGUACUAAACACUUAAUCCUAGAGGUUUGUGCUUUUGUAUAGAAAGCAUACUUCCAAAUAUUUAAAGUUUUAAAAACAUAAUCAUAUACAUUUAAAAGCACACAUUUUUGCUUGUGAGUUAUAUUUUGGUUUUGAAGUGCAAAUAAAUGGUUACUAAUUAAUGGUACUCAAUUUUCUUUUUUUUCCUAAGAAGAUAUUGAAGGAAACACUAGAUAUUAAUUGGAGAGCUGAAUGAUUUCCCAAGGAGAAUAAUUAUUUAUUCAUGAAUGAUACAACAUACAAAUUAUUUCUGGCACACUAGAAUAGGGCUUACUUUUGAACUUCAGGUAGAGACUAAUAAUUUUCCCUUUUGAAUCUAAUUAUAAGUGCCAUUUCAAAACCUAUUUUUACUUCUGCUUCAGUUUAGUGAUAUUUUUGAUUUCUAAUAAUUGAAAUAUAUUUAAAGAUGCAAAAGGUAAACAAGAUAGAGGUUGACCUUUCUCAUUUUAUAAGUUAAGGAUGUGUUUUCCUGAUCUGUUUUCUCACAUUCACCAGGAGGAAAAGAAGACACAAUGUAACUGGUAAUUGGUGAGAAAUUAAAUAAAAUUGUCCUGUUUGGUGUGUAUUUGUUGGGAUGUAUUUUAAUACUGCUUCAGUUUCUUGAAUGGCUUUUAAUCUAUCCAGAUUUACUAUUUCUUCUUGUUGAUAUUAUGAUAUUGUUUAUUUUUU